rnacentral:rRNA from 1 species
UACGGAGGGUGCGAGCGUUGUCCGGAAUCAUUGGGCGUAAAGGGCGCGUAGGUGGCGGGACAAGCGUGCGGUGAAAGCCUGGGGCUCAACCCCGGGUCGGCCGUGCGAACUGUUUUGCUUGAGCACUGUAGAGGCAGGCGGAAUUCCGGGUGUAGCGGUGGAAUGCGUAGAGAUCCGGAAGAACACCGGUGGCGAAGGCGGCAUCCUGGACCGAUAUUGACGCUGAUGCGCGAAAGCCAGGGGAGCAAACGGG